rnacentral:rRNA from 1 species
UACAGAGGUCCCAAGCGUUGUUCGGAUUCACUGGGCGUAAAGGGUGCGUAGGCGGUCGGGUAAGUCUGAUGUGAAAUCUCCAAGCCUAACUUGGAAACUGCAUUGGAUACUAUCCGGCUAGAGGAAUGGAGGGGAGACUGGAAUACUUGGUGUAGCAGUGAAAUGCGUAGAUAUCAAGUGGAACACCAGUGGCGAAGGCGAGUCUCUGGACAUUUCCUGACGCUGAGGCACGAAAGCCAGGGGAGGCAAACGGG